rnacentral:rRNA from 1 species
UACGUAGGGGGCAAGCGUUGUCCGGAUUUAUUGGGCGUAAAGAGCGUGUAGGCGGCCUUACAGGUCAGCUGUGAAAACCCGAGGCUCAACCUCGGGCCUGCAGUGGGUGCGGGCAGACUAGAGUGCGGUAGGGGAGAAUGGAAUUCCUGGUGUAGCGGUGGAAUGCGUGGAUAUCGAGAAGAACGCUCGUAGCGAAGGCGAGGCUCUGGGCAAAUUCUGACGCUGAGGCACGAAGGCUAGGGGAGCAAACGGG